rnacentral:rRNA from 1 species
GAUGAACGCUGGCGGCGUGCCUAAUACAUGCAAGUCGAGCGAACAGAUGAGGAGCUUGCUCCUCUGACGUUAGCGGCGGACGGGUGAGUAACACGUGGAUAACCUACCUAUAAGACUGGGAUAACUUCGGGAAACCGGAGCUAAUACCGGAUAAUAUAUUGAACCGCAUGGUUCAAUAGUGAAAGACGGUUUUGCUGUCACUUAUAGAUGGAUCCGCGCCGCAUUAGCUAGUUGGUAAGGUAACGGCUUACCAAGGCAACGAUGCGUAGCCGACCUGAGAGGGUGAUCGGCCACACUGGAACUGAGACACGGUCCAGACUCCUACGAGAGGCAGAAGUAGGGAAUCUUCCGCAAUGGGCGAAAGCCUGACGGAGCAACGCCGCGUGAGUGAUGAAGGUCUUCGGAUCGUAAAACUCUGUUAUUAGGGAAGAACAAAUGUGUAAGUAACUAUGAACGUCUUGACGGUACCUAAUCAGAAAGCCACGGCUAACUACGUG